rnacentral:lncRNA from 1 species
CUAUGACUUAAUAUGAUUUUUAUGAGGGCUUGAAUGGUCUCAUGCACAUCCUAAUUUAACCAAUCAUAAUGAUGCACUAUAAUAGCUGUAUCUUAAUAAAUAUAACAACUAAUCAUGGCAUCUAAUCAUAUCUCUAAGAUAUGAAAUCAUAAUCAUACAAUAUGAUUAUAACAUAAUAUCUUAAGUAUAUCACAUGCAUGAAGUUUUAAUAACAUACAUCAAUAAAAAAUAUUCAUUUUAUAGUUCUUCUUCUUGGUACAUCACCGUGGCACCCCUACAUACUAUAAAAGCACCCCAA